rnacentral:rRNA from 1 species
GGGCGAAAGCCUGACGCAGCAACGCCGCGUGGGGGAUGACGGCCUUCGGGUUGUAAACCUCUUUCGACAUCGACGAAGCCUUCGGGUGACGGUAGGUGUAGAAGAAGCACCGGCUAACUACGUGCCAGCAGCCGCGGUAAUACGUAGGGUGCGAGCGUUGUCCGGAUUUAUUGGGCGUAAAGAGCUCGUAGGCGGUUUGUCGCGUCGUUCGUGAAAACUGGAGGCUUAACCUUCAGCUUGCGGUCGAUACGGGCAGACUUGAGUUCGGUAGGGGAG